CUUGGUGCCGCCGCGCUGGAUGAUCUCGACGUCUUCGGUACAGAUGAAGCCGUUCAGCUGGAGAUUGUCCAGAAUGCACUGCGUGUUCUUCACCUGCUCCACCAGCAGCUCGCGGUGUGACGUCAGCAGCCUCAGGGGCUCUUUCUAAAGACUGUACCUGUAGAUACUGCGGCGAAGGUGGUGCAUAAACGCAGCUGUUCAUGAUGUACGUCCGACAGCUCAGGUCCUGUCCGCUGGUGGAGACGUUGACCUCCACUGGACUGUAGGUGCCCAUUUUCACGUUCUCCUGCCUGCAGAGGAACGUCCAGCACACAUGAGGAGCUUUCUGACGAGAUCUCGGACUAAAACAUAUACUGAGUGCCGUUUGGGGUCUACCUGUCGAGGGACUCCAGGUCUGACAUGUUCAUCCUCCACACGACGCCCCAGACCUCGUCCCCGGGGCUGUGUUCGAUGGUGGCGACCCCUCCGUGCCAGCGCUGACUCGCCAGUCCUUU